UCCCUGGUGGUCCAGUGGUUAGGACUCUGCACUUCCACUGCAGGGGUUCUGGGUUUGAUCCCUGGUCAGGGAA